rnacentral:rRNA from 1 species
CCUACGGGUGGCUGCUGUGGGGAAUAUUGCACAAUGGGGGAAACCCUGAUGCAGCGACGCCGCGUGAAGGAAGAAGUAUUUCGGUAUGUAAACUUCUUUCAGCGGGGAAGAAAAUGACGGUAUCUGACUAUGAAGCCCUGGCUAACUACGUGCCAGCAGCCGCGGGAAUACGUAGGGGGCAAGCGUUAUCCGGAUUUACUGGGUGUAAAGGGAGCGUAGGCGGUUUAGCAAGUCAGAAGUGAAAGCCCGGGGCUCAACUCCGGGACUGCUUUUGAAACUGUUGAACUAGAGUGCAGGAGAGGGAAGUGGAAUUCCUAGUGGAGCGGUGAAAUGCGUAGAUAUUAGGAGGAACACCAGUGGCGAAGGCGGCUUACUGGACUGUAAAUGACGCUGAGGUGCGAAAGCGUGGGGAGCAAACAGGAUUAGAUACCCCAGUAGUC